UCCGGUUGAUCCUGCCAGAGGUUACUGCUAUCGAGGUUCGACUAAGCCAUGCGAGUCGAAUGUAGCAAUACAUGGCGUACUGCUCAGUAGCACGUGGACAACCUGCCCUUAGGUUGGGUAUAAACCCGGGAAACUGGGUAUAAUCCCCUAUAAGUCUCGGCUGCUGGAAUGCACCGAGAUUAAAAGCUCCGGCGCCUAAGGAUGGGUCUGCGGCCUAUCAGGUAGUAGUGGGUGUAGCGUACCUACUAGCCUACGACGGGUACGGGUUGUGAGAGCAAGAGCCCGGAGAUGGAUUCUGAGACACGAAUCCAGGCCCUACGGGGUGCAGCAGGCGCGAAAACUUUACAAUGCUGGCAACAGCGAUAAGGGAACCUCGAGUGCCAGGUUACAAAUCUGGCUGUCGAGAUGCCUAAAAAGCAUUUCAUAGCAAGGGCCGGGCAAGACCGGUGCCAGCCGCCGCGGUAACACCGGCGGCUCGAGUGGUAACCGUUAUUAUUGGGUCUAAAGGGUCUGUAGCCGGCCGGAUAAGUCUCUUGAGAAAUCUGGCAGCUUAACUGUCAGGCUUUCAGGAGAUACUGUCUGGCUCGAGGCCGGGAGAGGUGAGAGGUACUUCAGGGGUAAGGGGUGAAAUCUUGUAAUCCUUGAAGGACCACCAGUGGCGAAGGCGUCUCACCAGAACGGACCUGACGGCAAGGGACGAAAGCUAGGGGCACGAACCGGAUUAGAUACCCGGGUAGUCCUAGCCGUAAACGAUACUCGCUAGGUGUCGGCCACGGUGCGACCGUUGUCGGUGCCGUAGGGAAGCCGUGAAGCGAGCCACCUGGGAAGUACGGCCGCAAGGCUGAAACUUAAAGGAAUUGGCGGGGGAGCACCACAACGGGUGGAGCUUGCGGUUUAAUUGGAUUCAACGCCGGAAAUCUUACCGGGACCGACAGCAAUAUGAAGGCCAGGCUGAAGACUUUGCCGGAUUAGCUGAGAGGUGGUGCAUGGCCGUCGUCAGUUCGUACUGUGAAGCAUCCUGUUAAGUCAGGUAACGAGCGAGACCCA
rnacentral:rRNA from 1 species